UACGUAGGGUGCGAGCGUUGUCCGGAAUUAUUGGGCGUAAAGGGCUCGUAGGCGGUUUGUCGCGUCGGGAGUGAAAUCAUCUGGCUUAACUGGGUGCUUGCUUUCGAUACGGGCAGACUAGAGGUAUGCAGGGGAGAACGGAAUUCCAGGUGUAGCGGUGAAAUGCGUAGAUAUCUGGAGGAACACCGGUGGCGAAGGCGGCAUCCUGGACCGGUAUUGACGCUGAGGCGCGAAAGCUAGGGGAGCAAACGGG
rnacentral:rRNA from 1 species